UUGCCUCAGUAACGGCGAGUGAAGCGGCAACAGCUCAAAUUUGAAAUCUGGCCCUCGGGCCCGAGUUGUAAUUUGCAGAGGAUGCUUUGGGCGAGGCGCCGUCCGAGUUCCCUGGAACGGGACGCCGUAGAGGGUGAGAGCCCCGUACGGUCGGAUGCCGAGCCUCUGUAAAGCUCCCUCGACGAGUCGAGUAGUUUGGGAAUGCUGCUCUAAAUGGGAGGUAAAUCUCUUCUAAAGCUAAAUAUUGGCCACAGACCGAUAGCGCACAAGUAGAGUGAUCGAAAGAUGAAAAGCACUUUGAAAAGAGAGUUAAACAGCACGUGAAAUUGUUGAAAGGGAAGCGCUCAUGACCAGACGUGUGGCGGGUAGAUCAGCCGGCGUUCUCGCCGGUGCACUCUGCCCGCUACAGGCCAGCAUCGGUUCGCCGCUGGGGAGAAAGACGGUGGGAAUGUGGCUCUUCGGAGUGUUAUAGCCCGCCGUGUAAUACCCUCUGGCGGACCGAGGUUCGCGCUCCGCAAGGAUGCUGGCGUAAUGGUCAUCAGCGACCCGUCUUGAAACACGGACCAAGGAGUCGUCCUAGUAUGCGAGUGUUUGGGUGCUAAAACCCCUACGCGAAAUGAAAGUGAACGGAGGUGAGAGCUUCGGCGCAUCAUCGACCGAUCCUGAUGUCUUCGGAUGGAUUUGAGUAUGAGCAUACUGGGCCGGACCCGAAAGAAGGUGAACUAUGCCUGUAUAGGGUGAAGCCAGAGGAAACUCUGGUGGAGGCUCGCAGCGGUUCUGACGUGCAAAUCGAUCGUCAAAUAUGGGCAUGGGGGCGAAAGUAAGUACUAUUCCUAUAUCUACAGUGGGCUCUGGUGUUCUCUGCGGCUCUUGAGGAUACGGGGGGCUCGGUGGGCUUCAGUGG
rnacentral:rRNA from 1 species